AAAAAUAUAAGUGCUUCCAUCUCUAGAAAACCCACUACCAGUAUCGAUCUUAACCAAGGCUUAGAAAUCAGGGUGUUUUUGCACUCAGACCGAAAUCACCCAAGAUCAGAGAAGAUUCGAUCUUCUCACUUCACAAAAAAGGUUCACACAAGAACACACACUACUUCUCAAUAAAAGAAUCACUCAAGAUUACAAACAAUGAUUU
rnacentral:lncRNA from 1 species